rnacentral:rRNA from 1 species
UGGAUGCCCUGGCAGUCAGAGGCGAUGAAGGACGUGCUAAUCUGCGAUAAGCGUCGGUAAGGUGAUAUGAACCGUUAUAACCGGCGAUUUCCGAAUGGGGAAACCCAGUGUGAUUCGUCACACUAUCAUUAACUGAAUCCAUAGGUUAAUGAGGCGAACCGGGGGAACUGAAACAUCUAAGUACCCCGAGGAAAAGAAAUCAACCGAGAUUCCCCCAGUAGCGGCGAGCGAACGGGGAGCAGCCCAGAGCCUGAAUCAGUGUGUGUGUUAGUGGAAGCGUCUGGAAAGGCGCGCGAUACAGGGUGACAGCCCCGUACACAAAAAUGCACAUGCUGUGAGCUCGAUGAGUAGGGCGGGACACGUGGUAUCCUGUCUGAAUAUGGGGGGACCAUCCUCCAAGGCUAAAUACUCCUGACUGACCGAUAGUGAACCAGUACCGUGAGGGAAAGGCGAAAAGAACCCCGGCGAGGGGAGUGAAAAAGAACCUGAAACCGUGUACGUACAAGCAGUGGGAGCACAGAGCAAUCUGUGUGACUGCGUACCUUUUGUAUAAUGGGUCAGCGACUUAUAUUCUGUAGCAAGGUUAACCGAAUAGGGGAGCCGAAGGGAAACCGAGUCUUAACUGGGCGUUAAGUUGCAGGGUAUAGACCCGAAACCCGGUGAUCUAGCCAUGGGCAGGUUGAAGGUUGGGUAACACUAACUGGAGGACCGAACCGACUAAUGUUGAAAAAUUAGCGGAUGACUUGUGGCUGGGGGUGAAAGGCCAAUCAAACCGGGAGAUAGCUGGUUCUCCCCGAAAGCUAUUUAGGUAGCGCCUCGUGAAUUCAUCUCCGGGGGUAGAGCACUGUUUCGGCAAGGGGGUCAUCCCGACUUACCAACCCGAUGCAAACUGCGAAUACCGGAGAAUGUUAUCACGGGAGACACACGGCGGGUGCUAACGUCCGUCGUGAAGAGGGAAACAACCCAGACCGCCAGCUAAGGUCCCAAAGUCAUGGUUAAGUGGGAAACGAUGUGGGAAGGCCCAGACAGCCAGGAUGUUGGCUUAGAAGCAGCCAUCAUUUAAAGAAAGCGUAAUAGCUCACUGGUCGAGUCGGCCUGCGCGGAAGAUGUAACGGGGCUAAACCAUGCACCGAAGCUGCGGCAGCGACGCUGAUGCGUUGUUGGGUAGGGGAGCGUUCUGUAAGCCUGCGAAGGUGUGCUGUGAGGCAUGCUGGAGGUAUCAGAAGUGCGAAUGCUGACAUAAGUAACGAUAAAGCGGGUGAAAAGCCCGCUCGCCGGAAGACCAAGGGUUCCUGUCCAACGUUAAUCGGGGCAGGGUGAGUCGACCCCUAAGGCGAGGCCGAAAGGCGUAGUCGAUGGGAAACAGGUUAAUAUUCCUGUACUUGGUGUUACUGCGAAGGGGGGACGGAGAAGGCUAUGUUGGCCGGGCGACGGUUGUCCCGGUUUAAGCGUGUAGGCUGGUUUUCCAGGCAAAUCCGGAAAAUCAAGGCUGAGGCGUGAUGACGAGGCACUACGGUGCUGAAGCAACAAAUGCCCUGCUUCCAGGAAAAGCCUCUAAGCAUCAGGUAACAUCAAAUCGUACCCCAAACCGACACAGGUGGUCAGGUAGAGAAUACCAAGGCGCUUGAGAGAACUCGGGUGAAGGAACUAGGCAAAAUGGUGCCGUAACUUCGGGAGAAGGCACGCUGAUAUGUAGGUGAAGCGACUUGCUCGUGGAGCUGAAAUCAGUCGAAGAUACCAGCUGGCUGCAACUGUUUAUUAAAAACACAGCACUGUGCAAACACGAAAGUGGACGUAUACGGUGUGACGCCUGCCCGGUGCCGGAAGGUUAAUUGAUGGGGUCAGCGCAAGCGAAGCUCUUGAUCGAAGCCCCGGUAAACGGCGGCCGUAACUAUAACGGUCCUAAGGUAGCGAAAUUCCUUGUCGGGUAAGUUCCGACCUGCACGAAUGGCGUAAUGAUGGCCAGGCUGUCUCCACCCGAGACUCAGUGAAAUUGAACUCGCUGUGAAGAUGCAGUGUACCCGCGGCAAGACGGAAAGACCCCGUGAACCUUUACUAUAGCUUGACACUGAACAUUGAGCCUUGAUGUGUAGGAUAGGUGGGAGGCUUGGAAGUGUGGACGCCAGUCUGCAUGGAGCCGACCUUGAAAUACCACCCUUUAAUGUUUGAUGUUCUAACGUUGACCCGUAAUCCGGGUUGCGGACAGUGUCUGGUGGGUAGUUUGACUGGGGCGGUCUCCUCCUAAAGAGUAACGGAGGAGCACGAAGGUUGGCUAAUCCUGGUCGGACAUCAGGAGGUUAGUGCAAUGGCAUAAGCCAGCUUGACUGCGAGCGUGACGGCGCGAGCAGGUGCGAAAGCAGGUCAUAGUGAUCCGGUGGUUCUGAAUGGAAGGGCCAUCGCUCAACGGAUAAAAGGUACUCCGGGGAUAACAGGCUGAUACCGCCCAAGAGUUCAUAUCGACGGCGGUGUUUGGCACCUCGAUGUCGGCUCAUCACAUCCUGGGGCUGAAGUAGGUCCCAAGGGUAUGGCUGUUCGCCAUUUAAAGUGGUACGCGAGCUGGGUUUAGAACGUCGUGAGACAGUUCGGUCCCUAUCUGCCGUGGGCGCUGGAGAACUGAGGGGGGCUGCUCCUAGUACGAGAGGACCGGAGUGGACGCAUCACUGGUGUUCGGGUUGUCAUGCCAAUGGCACUGCCCGGUAGCUAAAUGCGGAAGAGAUAAGUGCUGAAAGCAUCUAAGCACGAAACUUGCCCCGAGAUGAGUUCUCCCUGACUCCUUGAGAGUCCUGAAGGAACGUUGAAGACGACGACGUUGAUAGGCCGGGUGUGUAAGCGCAGCGAUGCGUUGAGCUAACCGGUACUAAUGAACCGUGAGGCUUAACCUU